rnacentral:rRNA from 1 species
GGUUAGUAACACGUUGAUAACCUACCUAUAAGACUGGGAUAACUUCGGGAAACCGGAGCUAAUACCGGAUAAUAUAUUGAACCGCAUGGUUCAAUAGUGAAAGACGGUUUUGCUGUCACUUAUAGAUGGAUCCGCGCCGCAUUAGCUAGUUGGUAAGGUAACGGCUUACCAAGGCAACGAUGCGUAGCCGACCUGAGAGGGUGAUCGGCCACACUGGAACUGAGACACGGUCCAG